CCUACGGGUGGCAGCAGUGAGGAAUAUUGGUCAAUGGACGCAAGUCUGAACCAGCCAAGCAGCGUGCAGGAAGACGGCUCUAUGAGUUGUAAACUGCUUUUGUACGAGGGUAAACGCAGAUACGCGUAUCUGUCUGAAAGUAUCGUAAGAAUAAGGAUCGGCUAACUCAGUGCCAGCAGCCGCGGUAAUACGGAGGAUUCAAGCGUUAUCCUGAUUUAUUGGGUUUAAAGGGUGCGUAGGCGGGCGGAUAAGUCAGAGGUGAAAUCCCGAGGCUCAACCUCGGAAUUGCCUUUGAUACUGUUCGUCUAGAGUGUAGUUGCGGUAGGCGGAAUGUAUGGUGUAGCGGUGAAAUGCUUAGAGAUCAUACAGAACACCGAUUGCGAAGGCAGCUUACCAAGCUACUUCUGACAUUGAUGCUCGAAAGUGUGGGUAUCAAACAGGAUUAGAUACCCCGGUAGUC
rnacentral:rRNA from 1 species